CUGAACUAUACACGGAGUUUACUGCUUCAAACAUAAACAACGAUGGCAAAGGGAGUGGAUGUCUUCUUUUGAGGACACAAAGCCAGAGGAUGUCCACACCAAGGGUAUGAAGAUGAGCAUCUUAACUAUUACUGGAAGAUGAUGUUGUCAUCCACUCAAACCUAAAGAUGCAUCAUAUUCACAACCUCAUCAUCUGCAGAGAAACUGCCACUCAAUCACACCACAUUGAUGGGCUUAAAGGCAUCACAGAGGAU